rnacentral:rRNA from 1 species
ACGGGAGGCAGCAGUGGGGAAUAUUGCACAAUGGGCGCAAGCCUGAUGCAGCAACGCCGCGUGCGGGAUGACGGCCUUCGGGUUGUAAACCGCUUUUAGUAGGGAAGAAGCCUUUCGGGGUGACGGUACCUGCAGAAAAAGGACCGGCUAACUACGUGCCAGCAGCCGCGGUAAUACGUAGGGUCCGAGCGUUGUCCGGAAUUAUUGGGCGUAAAGAGCUCGUAGGCGGUUUGUCGCGUCUGCUGUGAAAUCCCGAGGCUCAACCUCGGGCCUGCAGUGGGUACGGGCAGACUUGAGUGGUGUAGGGGAGACUGGAAUUCCUGGUGUAGCGGUGGAAUGCGCAGAUAUCAGGAGGAACACCGAUGGCGAAGGCAGGUCUCUGGGCACUUACUGACGCUGAGGAGCGAAAGCGUGGGGAGCGAACAGGAUUAGAUACCCUGGUA